rnacentral:rRNA from 1 species
GAGUGAACGCUGGCGGUAGGCCUAACACAUGCAAGUCGAACGGCAGCACAGUAAGAGCUUGCUCUUACGGGUGGCGAGUGGCGGACGGGUGAGGAAUACAUCGGAAUCUACUUUUUCGUGGGGGAUAACGUAGGGAAACUUACGCUAAUACCGCAUACGACCUACGGGUGAAAGCAGGGGAUCUUCGGACCUUGCGCGAUUGAAUGAGCCGAUGUCGGAUUAGCUAGUUGGCGGGGUGAAGGCCCACCAAGGCGACGAUCCGUAGCUGGUCUGAGAGGAUGAUCAGCCACACUGGAACUGAGACACGGUCCAGACUCCUACGGGAGGCAGCAGUGGGGAAUAUUGGACAAUGGGCGCAAGCCUGAUCCAGCCAUACCGCGUGGGUGAAGAAGGCCUUCGGGUUGUAAAGCCCUUUUGUUGGGAAAGAAAAGCAGCAGGUUAAUACCCCGCUGUUCUGACGGUACCCAAAGAAUAAGCACCGGCUAACUUCGUG